CUGAGGUACGAAAGCGUGGGGAGCAAACAGGAUUAGAUACCCUGGUAGUCCACGCCGUAAACGUUGGGAACUAGGUGUGGGUCUCAUUCCACGAGAUCCGUGCCGCAGCUAACGCAUUAAGUUCCCCGCCUGGGGAGUACGGCCGCAAGGCUAAAACUCAAAGGAAUUGACGGGGGCCCGCGCAAGCGGCGGAGCAUGCGGAUUAAUUCGAUGCAACGCGAAGAACCUUACCAAGGCUUGACAUACACCGGAAUCACUCAGAGAUGGGUGCGUCUUCGGACUGGUGUACAGGUGGUGCAUGGUUGUCGUCAGCUCGUGUCGUGAGAUGUUGGGUUAAGUCCCGCAACGAGCGCAACCCUCGUUCUAUGUUGCCAGCACGUGAUGGUGGGGACUCAUAGGAGACUGCCGGGGUCAACUCGGAGGAAGGUGGGGAUGACGUCAAAUCAUCAUGCCCCUUAUGUCUUGGGCUUCACGCAUGCUACAAUGGCCGGUACAAAGGGCUGCGAAACCGCGAGGUGGAGCGAAUCCCAAAAAACCGGUCUCAGUUCGG
rnacentral:rRNA from 1 species